rnacentral:rRNA from 1 species
GAAGAGCAUUGAAACAGCAAGACUUGAGUACAGGAGAGGAAAGCGGAAUCCUGGUGUAGAGGUGAAAUUCGUAGAUAUCAGGAGGAACACCCAUGGCGAAGGCAGCUUUCUGGACUGAUACUGACGCUGAGGCGCGAAGGUGUGGGUAGCGAACAGGAUUAGAUACCCUGGUAGUCCACACAGUAAACGAUGUUCACUAGGUGUAGCGGGUAUUAAAACCUGCUGUGCCGGAGUUAACGCAUUAAGUGAACCGCCUGGGGAGUACGGUCGCAAGAUUAAAACUCAAAGGAAUUGACGGGGGCCCGCACAAGCGGUGGAGCAUGUGGUUUAAUUCGACGCAACGCGAAGAACCUUACCUGGAUUUGACAUCCUGUGAAUCCCCGAGAGAUCG